rnacentral:rRNA from 1 species
GUAGGGAAUAUUGCACAAUGGGCGAAAGCCUGAUGCAGCAACGCCGCGUGCGCGAUGAAGGCCUUCGGGUCGUAAAGCGCUUUUCGGGGAGAUGAGGAAGGACAGUAUCCCCGGAAUAAGGCUCGGCUAACUACGUGCCAGCAGCCGCGGUAAAACGUAGGAGCCAAGCGUUAUCCGAAUUCACUGGGCGUAAAGCGCGUGCAGGCGGCAUGAUAAGUUGGAUGUGAAAUCUCCUGGCUCAACUGGGAGGGGACGUUCAAUACUGUCAAGCUAGAGGACAGCAGAGGGAGGUGGAAUUCCCGGUGUAGUGGUGAAAUGCGUAGAUAUCGGGAGGAACACCAGUGGCGAAAGCGGCCUUCUGGGCCGAUCCUGACGCUCAGACGCGAAAGCUAGGGGAGCGAACGGGAUUAGAUACCCGAGUAGUCC